GGGGGAGCGGUCAGAGACACUCUCCCACGGGGGAAGCCUGAGAGGGGAGGCGACAAACCAGACCCCCGCCCCACCCCCGGCGCGCGGCCAAGCAGCCUCUUCCCCGCGGUGUCUCUCUGCCUUUACUCAGGUGAGCAGCUCCAUUGGCUUCACUAGGACUACUCACACAAAUAAGGAUUGAAGAUGCAAGUCCAUACUCUGUACCCUGGUAUGGAGAGAAGACAAGGUUGGCCUCACAAAACCUGAAAAAACUUCCAUAACUCAAUUUUAAAUAUUAUAAUUGUAAUUUUUAUGAAUGCAUUCCUUAAGGACUAUAUAGUGCAAGAUACUUAACAGAACAACAAUUUUGAAAAUUAAAAAUA